rnacentral:rRNA from 1 species
GCUAAUACCGCAUAAUGUCUUCGGACCAAACGGGGCUUAGGCUCCGGCGCAAAGAGAGGCCCAAGUGAGAUUAGCUAGUUGGUAAGGUAAAGGCUUACCAAGGCGACGAUCUCUAGCUGUUCUGAGAGGAAGAUCAGCCACACUGGGACUGAGACACGGCCCAGACUCCUACGGGAGGCAGCAGUGGGGAAUAUUGCACAAUGGGGGAAACCCUGAUGCAGCCAUGCCGCGUGUGUGAAGAAGGCCUUCGGGUUGUAAAGCACUUUCAGUUGUGAGGAAAGGUUGGUAGUUAAUACCUGCCAGCUGU